AUUGAACGCUGGCGGCAGGCCUAACACAUGCAAGUCGAACGAGUGGCGGACGGGUGAGUAAUGUCUGGGAAACUGCCUGAUGGAGGGGGAUAACUACUGGCCACGGUAUCUAAUACCGCAUACCAUCGGAUUUCCCCAGAUGGGAUUAGCUAGUAGGUGGGGUAACGGCUCACCUAGGCGACGAUCCCUAGCUGGUCUGAGAGGAUGACCGGCCACACGGGAACUGCGACACGGACCAGACUCCUACGGGAGGCAGCAGGGGUGAAUAGUGCAAAAUGGGCGCAAGCCGGAUGCAGCAAUGCCGCGGGUAUGAAGAAGGCCUUCGGGUUGUAAAGUACUGUAAGCGGGGAGGCGUGACGAGGAGAAGAAGCAACGGCUAACUCCGUGCCAGCAGCCGCGGUAAGAG
rnacentral:rRNA from 1 species